rnacentral:lncRNA from 1 species
AUAAACAUUUCAAAAAUACAUUGUGCCAUUACAGAAACAUUUCAGCAAUCAAGGCUCAUUUCAUUCAGUACACGUGUUUGGAGAAUUUGCAAGGGCCACAACUUUUUCUGCAUUCAAGUAAAAAAUGGCAAUAAGAAUAAUUACCAGCCUUAUCGAGAAUAAUUAAUUAAUUAUUGUCCAGUGUAGGGGAUAGAAUUUGGAAGCUCCAUCAAAUGAAUCAUCUCAGAACCCACCUAUAGCCACGCACCCCAUAUAAUUUGUACAGAAAACGAGGAUUACCAAGAAGGUUCUAGUAAAAAUCAAGCGACCUCUCAUAGAUUACCAAGAAUAUAUAGAUGUUGGGAGGGAGAUCUGAAGAGUCGCUGAGUCGCUGCCUCGCUUGUGGUCGAUCUCCACCAUGCGUUGCCGUCGUGCAAGAAAGAUGAGUUGGAUUUGUCGAGGAGUCGACCAGGAAGAUGAGCGACGACGAGAGAGCUGUCGAAGCGAGAGAUCGAAAGCACUCAAAGCAGAGCUGCAGAGGGGAGCUGAAAGUGAGAUAUUGAGAUCUCAGAUUAUCUCAGAUCUGAGAAUGAGUCACACUUAAUUUG